ACGUGUACGUGAGAGUCCCCUCGUGUUUCUCCCUGUUUUUAAAUUAAUGUUUUUAAAUUAAUGUUUAUCUUUUCUAAAUGAACCGUUGAGCCACGUCUCCGUUCGAUAAGCACGCGCGUGAAUUGAUAUAUCCCUGCCUAUAUCACCCAUGGAAGGAAGAGUUGUGAUGGUUAUAGACUGGAUUAUUCAUUGUAACUGAAGUGGACUUUCAGGAAGUGAGGUGGCAAUGGGACAAAAAACAACAUUCACCCUGGCAACGCUUCAGGAAAGCGCUUCUCCGUAGCAACCGUAGGGCAGUCUGUGCCAGUUCUGUGCCAGUUCUGUCCCUGCGUUUCUUUGAGCCCAGAAGAAUGUCAGGGGAGAUUUGGAACCUUCCCUUGGGCCUGGGUGAAUAGCUGUCCACUGACCAGCCCCCCCUCCCCUACACUACCUCCUUUAAAAGUAGAGAGGCCCAAACAAGCAACUUCAACCGUCAGAUCUCCAAUCCAGGCAACCCCUCUGUGAAGAGGAACCUGACACCAUUCUGCCUUCCUGCAGUAGGCCUGCCUCUGUACCUGCCCCCAGGUCCCGUCCAACUGCUCGUGUCAUCUCCGAUGCUGUCUUGGAUAACCAGGAGCGGAUUGCGCAAAGUCUCUGAAAUCGCUUCUACUCUGGCCACAAUAUCAGAAACACUAAAAGACAUAAACACACAUUUAAAAAUAUAAAGAACGUGCACUGAAACCUGUAUCAUUUCAUGUGUUUAAUUUGUGGUAUUUAAAGGACAAAACAAAUCAAAAACGAGAAAUUAUUUGUUGUCUGACUUCCACGCCAAGUCGAUUGUCUGGUCCCAGCAAUGGGUCAGGGCGCACAUCCUGGUGUGGUGGCUGAAGUGGAAGUGGAACACCACGCUUCAUAGCGUUGUUGUGUAACACACAACAGGCCAUGAUUAUUCUGCAAACCUAAAAACGGUGUAAAGAUGAUCAAAAGCUUGCAUUUAUCCUCAGUAAUUUUCCAUUCAAGUUGUUAGACCCAGGUGGCUUGUCAUUGUUGAUAGCCCCCACAAAAAAUUAUGCUCUUCCACACUCACUUUACGUAAUCCAAAAUUACAAUGCCUGUCUUUCAUAAUUUGGUCAGUUAUAAUUGGAUGUGUUGCUGGCAUGUCAUGCCUAAAUUUG